GAUGAACGCUGGCGGUGUGCCUAAUACAUGCAAGUCGAGCGGUAAGGCUUUCACAGAUUAUUUAAACGGUUAAGUCCCUAGGGAUACUAACAAGGCAACACAUACUCACUAGGCUAGUGAACAGUGGUUGAAUAAUGUGUGAAAGUACACGAGCGGCGGACGGCUGAGUAACGCGUAGGAACGUACCCCAAAGUGAGGGAUAAGCACCGGAAACGGUGUCUAAUACCGCAUGUGAUCUAAGGAUUAAAGCCUUCGGGCGCUUUGGGAGCGGCCUGCGUAUGAUUAGUUUGUUGGUGAGGUAAUGGCUCACCAAGACUACGAUCAUUAGCUGGUCUGAGAGGAUGAUCAGCCAGACUGGGACUGAGACACGGCCCAGACUCCUACGGGAGGCAGCAGUAGGGAAUUUUCCACAAUGGGCGAAAGCCUGAUGGAGCAACACCGCGUGCAGGAUGAAGGCCCUAGGGUCGUAAACUGCUUUUAUGAGUGAUAAUUAUGAUAGUAGCUCAAGAAUAAGGGUCGGCUAACUACGUGCCAGCAGCCGCGGUCAUACGUAGGACCCAAGCGUUAUCCGGAAUUACUGGGCGUAAAGAGUUGCGUAGGCGGCUUAUUAAGCAAGGUGUGAAAUCGUACGGCUCAACCGUACACACAUACUUUGAACUGGUAAGCUAGAGUAUGGGAGAGGUUAUUGGAAUUCCAAGUGUAGGAGUGAAAUCCGUAGAUAUUUGGAGGAACACCGAUGGCGUAGGCAGAUAACUGGCCCAUUACUGACGCUCAGGCACGAAAGCGUGGGUAGCAAACGGGAUUAGAUACCCCGGUAGUCCACGCCCUAAACUAUGGAUGCUAGCUGUUGGUCGUAUCGACCCGAUCAGUAGCGAAGCUAACGCGUUAAGCAUCCCGCCUGUGGAGUACGGUCGCAAGACUAAAACAUAAAGGAAUUGACGGGGACCCGCACAAGCGGUGGAGUGUGUUGUUUAAUUCGAUGGUAAACGAAGAACCUUACCCAGACUUGACAUCCUUGGAAGGACUACGAAAGUAGACUGUGCCCUUGGGAGCCAAGUGACAGGUGUUGCAUGGCCGUCGUCAGCUCGUGUCGUGAGAUGUUAGGUUAAGUCCUUCAACGAGCGCAACCCUUGUAGUUAGUUGUAUUUUUCUAGCUAGACUGCCCUGGUAACAGGGAGGAAGGAGGGGAUGAUGUCAGGUCAGUAUUACCCUUACGUCUGGGGCUACAAACACGCUACAAUGGCCGGUACAAAGGGAAGCCAACCCGCGAGGGGGAGCAAAUCCCAUCAAAGCCGGUCUCAGUUCGGAUUGCAGGCUGAAACUCGCCUGCAUGAAGCUGGAAUCGCUAGUAACGGUAAGUCAGCAGAUUACCGUGAAUACGUUCCCGGGUCUUGUACACACCGCCCGUCAAACCAUGAAAGUCGCCAAUACCUGACGUCCUAGCUUGUCUAGGCCUAAGGUAGGGGAGAUGAUUGGGGUU
rnacentral:rRNA from 1 species